AAACGAAGAGUUGGCCGUACCCAACAAUUUCAUUUUGCACAGAGCUCACUGACGAAAUAAUUGGACCUGCCUGGGCUCGCCUUGUUCCGGAAAAAAAAUGGAGGAACCGC
ensembl:ncRNA F48C11.7 ncRNA